UUUGUCUUAAACUUAUUCUGCAGUGAUAACUACUGAAGCCAAAAAUAUCCUUUUGAGACACAUCUAUCAGAGUGCUGAAGAGAAGGAUGUAACAAGUUCUUCAUCUCAUAUCUAAGUACACACACAUGACAUGAUGCAACAAGUUCUUCAUCUCAUACUUAAGUACACACACGACAUACUCAUUUAGUGUGGCCACCAAGUGGAUAUUUGAGACCAAAGAGAGCUGCGAUAUAUAAGUACAAUUGGGUGAUCCCUGUGAUAGUUUAUAAGGAAUGAAGUGAUUAGAGAGAUAUUUACCUUUUUAUUCCAUUCACGUAAUGUCUCAAUCCUCCCAUUCAUCAUCUUCUUUGGGUGAUCGGAAAAAUGCCCCAAUAUGUUUAUGUGGAUCAAUUGCGCGUCUCAAAGUCUCCAACACUUCAAGAAAUCCAAGAAGACCUUUUUUCACUUGUCCAAAUUACAAUAAGGAGGGAAAGCCAUACUGCAAUUACUUUAUAUGGGCAGAUUUUGUAGAAGGAAAUGGAAGUCCACUUGAUCGGCACAAAAGUGAAUUCCAGCAAAGAGAUGAAGAACUUCAAAAGAGAGAGGUUGAAGUCACUAGGAGAGAGAAUGAAGUCCAACAUGUUUUAGAAGAGAUCCAUAAAGAAAAGGAAGAGAUCCAUAAAGCAAAGGAGGACAUCCAAAAGAAAGUGUUGGAUCUUCUGAAUGAACGGGAAGAGCUUCAAAGUCAAGUUAUAGAGAUUAGUCAUGCACGCAUGCUACUAUGCGUAUUUUGGGGACUUUCUAUACUAAUCUCAUGUAUUUUGCUAAGAUCAAGAUCAAUAGAAGAUUAAGUUUGUGUUAGGGACUUUUUGUAUGUUGUUAAGUUAGUGUUUCAGUUUAGCCAGAUUGGUGACUUGUAAACAUUCUACAUUAUGAUGCAGUCUUCAUAA